CCACAUUGGUAGCAGCUGGAGAAGGUUUUGCUGGUGAAAAGUCAGAGUUUAAAAAAAUCUGUAGUUCGGUAGAGUUGCUUGCUAGGUCAUAAGAAGAAAAUGCAGUGAAAGGUUUAGGACUCAGCUUAAGAAAGAUAAGAUAAGCUGGGACAAGCAAUCAAAUUAAUUCUUCUAGAAUGGAUGAAAAAAAUGAUCACCCAGCAGCUAAACCUGAAGAUGAACUAAGUGUAGCCAACAUUUCAGUCCAAGUGGUAUCUGCAGAAGACAAGUUGGCAAAGAGGAUUCUGGCAAGGAAAAAACAUGGCAAAUUGAAGAAAAAAGAGAAGUUGCUGUGGAAUUUUCAAAACAAAAUAAUUAUUUUUACCCUCAUUCUAUUUAUUUUAGGAGUUGUAACCUGGACUUUACUUUGGCUCUUCAUUGUUCAGGCAGAAAGCAAAGAUGUGUUGUACUUUGUUGGGCUAUUUCGUGUUGCCAACAUAGAAUUUCUCCCAGAAUAUAGGCAGAAGGAAUCGAAAGAAUUUCUCUCUGUGGCGCAGAACGUACAACAUGUGAUGAACUUGGUUUACAGAACCUCCUCUUUCUCCAAGUUUUAUAAGCAGGCCACUGUUUCAGAAGUCAGUAACAACAAUAACGGAGGGCUUCUUAUCCACUUCUGGAUUGUAUUUGUGGUACCGCAGCCAAAAGGCCAAGUGCUGUGUGAGGACUGCGUGGCUGCCAUUUUAAAGGACUCCAUUCAGACAAGCAUCCUUAACCGCACCUCAGUGGGAAGUCUUCAGGGUCUCGCAGUUGACAUGGACUCCAUUGUGCUAAGUGCAGGUCUUCGGUCAGAUUAUUGGUCAACAACAGGAACAGGAACAAAUUGUAUGUAUGAUCUGCAUGCUGAUCGUCUCCAUGAACACUUUCCUUUGGAUAUCCAUGCUACCUCAGGGGGAACGAUCUGCUAUCUUAAACUGAUUGCGUUAGUGGGUCAUCUUAUUCGUCUUUCAAUAGUAUCGCUUCAGAUUGGAGCAGAUAACUGCAUCACUGACUCGCUAACCAUUUAUGACUCUCUGAUGCCAAUCAAACAUAAGAUACUGUACCGAGCGUGCGAGCCAGCUGAUUCAUUGGUGUCACUUGUGUCCACAAAUAAUCUCAUGCUGGUAAUGUUUAAGGCAGCACAGAUAAGUGAACGGAAGGAGUUCCAUGGCUAUUUUGAGAUCAUUACACAAGAAAGGUGUGGAAAAGCAAUAGCAACAAAAGAAAAGAUUGGCUAUGAAGGGAGAAUCACAAGUCCCUAUUACCCAAGCUAUUACCCUCCAAAAUGUCUUUGUGCAUGGAACUUCCAGACUCCACAGAAGAACCUUGGUAUAGCUCUGAAGUUUCAUAACUAUACCAUCAGUGAGAAGAAUAUUAAAGGCUGUGAACGAGGAUGGUGGAAAAUUAACGAACACAUGUAUUGUGGUUACUAUGUUGAUCACCAAACAGUCUUUCAUAUUGCAAGCUCUGCUGUUAAUGUUGAGCUUCAGUGCAGUUCAAAGGUGUCAGAGAAGCCACUUCUGGUGGAGUACGGCAGCUAUAACAUCAGCCAACCAUGUCCACCUGGAUAUUUCAAGUGCUCCACUGGCUUAUGCAUCCAGCAGAUACAGCGCUGUGAUGGGAUAAACAAUUGCUUUGAUGAAAGUGAUGAACUCUUUUGUGUUGUCCCUGAGUGGAACUGUAACUCCAGCUUUGCGAUACAGGAUAACUUGCUUGCCUGCAAUGGAGUAAGUGAUUGUGAGAAUGGAAAUGAUGAGGAGAACUGUACCAACAGUAUUCCUUGUACCAAUCACACAUUUAAGUGCAGGAAUAAUAUAUGCAUUAAGAAACAAAAUGCAAAAUGCGAUGGGACUGUGGACUGUACUGAUGGAAGUGAUGAAAGCAGCUGCAGUUGUGGCAGCAGCAAGAGCAGCAAUCUCAUCUCUCGGAUUGUAGGUGGUACAAACACAAAGGAAGGUGAAUGGCCAUGGCAGGUCAGCCUCCAUUUUGUGGGAGCUGCUUACUGUGGGGCAUCAGUGAUAUCAAAAGAAUGGCUUGUAUCUGCAGCUCACUGCUUUCAAGGGAGCAAGCUGGCUGACCCCAGAGCAUGGCGUGCUCACUUGGGGAUGCAAACACAAGGCCGUGCAAAGUUCGUAUCUGCUGUGAGACGGAUCAUUGUCCACGAAUACUAUAAUAGCAGGAACUACGACUAUGACAUUGCAUUGCUACAGCUGAGCAAACCGUGGCCAGAAACAAUGAGCCACGUCAUUCAGCCAAUCUGCGUACCUCCAUUUUCACACAGAGUCCGCAGUGGUGACAAAUGUUGGAUAACAGGUUGGGGCCAAAAGCAGGAAGUGGGUGAGUUUAAUACCAUCAGUUGAGUUAACAUUUCUUCCCCAGGUGAUCAGCUGCAGGUUUGUGUGCAGGACGCCUGCUGUUCUUGCAUGCGUGAAGCAUGCAGAAAACUGUAAUGUUUUGAAUUUAGUCUCCUCUGGAAGUAGGUUCUUGCAUGUAUGUAACUUUAUGCACUUAGGAAAAUUAGCAGCCAAUCCUGUGGAUCUGCAAGUACUCUGUGCUUGUGUUGGGUAAGAUUGGCAAGGAGCUGCACUUUUUCUUCAGUCAUACAGUAUUGUUUCUCCUCUUUGUUACUCUUAGAGUUUCAUUAACCUGCCUAAAUGGACUCUUCCUUGCCUGCUGCAGGGGAACGAACCUAAUUUUCCCUACUCCUGCCUUCAACCUCUUCAUGAUGAGCUCUGAGGCAUGGAGCUGCCUGCAAGGCACCACCACCUGUACCCUCAGGGUGUAGCUGAGAAAAUGGACACCAUAUUGACAAAACGGCUGCCCCUGUAAUGGUGGGCUGGCUCCCUCCCACACCUUGUCACAUGCUGCCUCUUCUUUUGCACAAAUGCUAGUACCUUUGGCCUUGUUGUAGCCAUCCAGUAACAGAAAGCAGGGCUUAGGAAAGGACUAGGUAAUGGUACGGUGGCUACUAGCACCUGUGUGCUGUUGGAUGGACUUUCCCAGGUGAGGAAACACAGGUGUGAACAAUUGCCACAGCAUCAGUCACAUCACCACCACCAAGCCAAACCUCCACUCUACUGGGAUGCGCCUGACUUAGGUGGUUUGCCUACACCUCCAGGGCUGCCCUGCCCCAGCUUUGCCUGCCAUCUCAGGGUGGCUGUCUCCAUGCUGCUCCUCCACACUCAGAUGAGAGUGGGAGAAGCAAACAUGAAAAGAUGUCUUUUAACAAAACAUUUGGAUAGAGAGGGCAGAAUUUAAGGUAAGUCUGAACUUUUAAGCUGCCAAAAGAGAAUUUUUUGAUGUGUAACACUGAUCUGUGAUUUUAGUUCUGGAUGUAGCUUCUUGAAAGACACCACCCUAACUGCAGAUAUGUCUUGUUAAAAUCCAAAUACUUUUAUAAGAUUCAAUUUUUUCCCAAAAUAGAAUCUUCACAAAUUAGUGAAUCUUGAGACAUUUUGCAAAAGACAUUACAGAAGGCUUUUUGGCCGACCCUAAUGAUUAGGCCAUUGUCUUUGCUGUGGCCAAGGGCCCAUGAUCAUGUUAUGCAAAUGCCUGGUAGAAGAGGCUUUCUGUGCCUUUGGGAUUUAGUUGUUUGCAAUCUGGAACAGCUUAGAGUUCAAAAGUGUGUGGGGAUAUUUUCUGAAGACUUCUUGGUUGUGCCUUCACUAGACAAGUAAUAUGUUAAGCUCUGUUGAACCAUCCCUUUCAAUUUGUUUCCCAGGUGAGGAAGGUGCUGCGAUUCUUCAGAAAGCAGAAGUAGAAAUUAUUGACCAAUCAUUAUGUCAUUCCACAUAUGGGAUUAUCACAGCUAGGAUGUUUUGUGCAGGACUAAUGUCUGGAAAAAGAGAUGGGUGCAAAGUAUG